rnacentral:rRNA from 1 species
AGAGUUUGAUCCUGGCUCAGAUUGAACGCUGGCGGCAUGCCUUACACAUGCAAGUCGAACGGCAGCGGACCUUCGGGUGCCGGCGAGUGGCGAACGGGUGAGUAAUGUAUCGGAACGUACCUUUCAGUGGGGGAUAACGUAGCGAAAGUUACGCUAAUACCGCAUAUUCUGUGCGCAGGAAAGCAGGGGAUCGCAAGACCUUGCGCUGAUUGAGCGGCCGAUAUCAGAUUAGCUAGUUGGUGAGGUAAAGGCUCACCAAGGCGACGAUCUGUAGCGGGUCUGAGAGGAUGAUCCGCCACACUGGAACUGAGACACGGUCCAGACUCCUACGGGAGGCAGCAGUGGGGAAUUUUGGACAAUGGGGGCAACCCUGAUCCAGCCAUGCCGCGUGAGUGAAGAAGGCCUUCGGGUUGUAAAGCUCUUUCGGCCGGGAAGAAAUCGCAUGGGUUAAUACCCUGUGCGGAUGACGGUACCGGCAUA